rnacentral:rRNA from 1 species
AUUGGGACUGAGACACGGCCCAAACUCCUACGGGAGGCAGCAGUAGGGAAUUUUCGUCAAUGGGGGGAACCCUGAACGAGCAAUGCCGCGUGAGUGAGGAAGGUCUUCGGAUCGUAAAGCUCUGUUGUAAGAGAAAAACGGCACUCAUAGGGAAUGAUGAGUGAGUGAUGGUAUCUUACCAGAAAGUCACGGCUAACUACGUGCCAGCAGCCGCGGUAAUACGUAGGUGGCGAGCGUUAUCCGGAAUGAUUGGGCGUAAAGGGUGCGUAGGUGGCAGAUCAAGUCUGGAGUAAAAGGUAUGGGCUCAACCCGUACUGGCUCUGGAAACUGAUCAGCUAGAGAACAGAAGAGGACGGCGGAACUCCAUGUGUAGCGGUAAAAUGCGUAGAUAUAUGGAAGAACACCGGUGGCGAAGGCGGCCGUCUGGUCUGGAUUCUGACACUGAAGCACGAAAGCGUGGGGAGCAAAUAGGAUUAGAUACCCUAGUAGUCCACGCCGUAAACGAUGAGAACUAGGUGUUGGGGGAAUAACUCAGUGCCGCAGUUAACGCAAUAAGUUCUCCGCCUGGGGAGUAUGCACGCAAGUGUGAAACUCAAAGGAAUUGACGGGGGCCCGCACAAGCGGUGGAGUAUGUGGUUUAAUUCGAAGCAACGCGAAGAACCUUACCAGGCCUUGACAUCCCUUGCAGAGGUAUAGAGAUAUAUCCGAGGUUAUCAAGGAGACAGGUGGUGCAUGGUUGUCGUCAGCUCGUGUCGUGAGAUGUUGGGUUAAGUCCCGCAACGAGCGCAACCCUUGUGAUAUGUUACUAACAUUGAGUUGAGGACUCAUAUCAGACUGCCGGUGAUAAACCGGAGGAAGGUGGGGAUGACGUCAAAUCAUCAUGCCCCUUAUGGCCUGGGCUACACACGUACUACAAUGGCGUCUACAAAGAGCGGCAAGCCUGUGAAGGCAAGCGAAUCUCAUAAAGGACGUCUCAGUUCGGAUUGAAGUCUGCAACCCGACUUCAUGAAGCUGGAAUCGCUAGUAAUCGCGAAUCAGCAUGUCGCGGUGAAUACGUUCUCGGGCCUUGUACACACCGCCCGUCAAACCAUGGGAGUUGGUAAUGCCCGAAGCCGGUGGCAUAACCCUUCGGGGAGUGAGCCGUCGAAGGCAGGACCGAUGACUGGGGUUAAGUCGUAACAAGGUAUCCCUACGGGAACGUGGGGAUG